CUCAAAUCGAGAAAACGGCCGAUUCGCUUUCUUUAGCAUGUUGCUUGGGUUACAGUGGGUCGAGGAAAAGCAAAGAAUUGAAAGUACCCCAUCCAUCAUACAUACCCCUUUAUUCUCGGUAAAAUGAUUUAACAGAAAACAGAAAAACAGAGAUUUCUAGACCUAAGUGUCUUCAUUUUAAACAUAUAGGCGUUGCUAGUGAAGCAAAUCCAUCGUAUCAUGAUGAAUUCAUCAAAACCGGCAAUCACAAAUUGUCAUUGUACGAAACACGUAAAACUGGUAAAUUCAUGCCACAUGCGUAUCGACCGAAUGAACUGACUGAUGAUGGUGAAAACGUACACUCAAUUCAUAUACGGAAGUUUAGUCAAUAAUGUGUUGUGUAACGGAAUAAUCUGUUAUUUAUUAUACUGUAA